rnacentral:rRNA from 1 species
CUCUGUGACUCCUACGGGGAGGCAUCAGUGGGGAAUAUUGCACAAUGGGGGAAACCCUGAUGCAGCCAUGCCGCGUGUGUGAAGAAGGCCUUCGGGUUGUAAAGCACUUUCAGUAGGGAGGAAGGUAGUGUAGUUAACACCUGCAUUAUUUGACGUUACCUACAGAAGAAGCACCGGCUAACUCCGUGCCAGCAGCCGCGGUAAUACGGAGGGUGCGAGCGUUAAUCGGAAUUACUGGGCGUAAAGCGCAUGCAGGCGGCCUGUUAAGUCAGAUGUGAAAGCCCGGGGCUUAACCUCGGAAUUGCAUUUGAAACUGGCAGGCUAGAGUCUUGUAGAGGGGGGUAGGAAUUUCAGGUGUAGCGGUGAAAUGCGUAGAGAUCUGAAGGAAUACCAGUGGCGAAGGCGGCCCCCUGGACAAAGACUGACGCUCAGAUGCGAAAGCGUGGGGAGCAAACAGGAUUAGAUACCCUGGUAG